rnacentral:tRNA from 1 species
GGGGUAGUAGCUCAGUUGGAAGAGCGCUUGCAUGGCAUGUAAGAGGUCGUCGGUUCGAUCCCGACCUGCUCCACCA